AGAGGAACGAAGAGGAGGAGGGGAAAAGACAGUGAAAAAGUGGAGCGUGGGGAAGAUGAUGAUGAAUAAAUGCUGUAAUAAUAAAUGACUGCAUGUUGUUAGCCUAGCUUAUGUGGGGGAGAGACAGCUAAAUAACAUAGCCUCUGCUUGCACUACUGUGUCCAGGUUGAGUGUGCACUACUGGCUAAAGGACAUAGAGUGAGGACACUAGUUGUCGAUAGCUUAGCUAGCAGACUGAAGGAGCACAUCUUAGCUAGUUGUUACAUAACAUGUUAACUGAUGAAUUUAAGUCAGAUGAAGCUAACAGUCAAAAUUUAAAUGCAAGAAAUUUUUUUUAUAGUGUUAGAUUAUUCUCAGCGGUGAUAGCUGGGGAGGUCCUCUGUGUAUUUUCUCCCAUAGGGUCUCCUCAAGAGACCCCAUUACAACCCACAGUCUCACCCAUGGGCACAAAGCAUGCCAGAUCCCAGAGAAGAGGAAAUUAUCGAAACACCAUGACUUUUCAUACACUCAUUUUAUUAGCCCCCCUUGUACUGGGUAGGACUCCGCCUUAAUUCUUUGUGGCAUAGAUUGAACAACAUUCCUCAGAUAUCUUUGACCAUACAGACAUGUGGCUGCACAGUCAAGUCAAUCUCCUACUCCACCAUAUCCUCAAGAUCCUUUAUUAAAUGGAGAUCUAGUGACUGUGGAGGUCAGCAGAAAUCAUCAUCAUGCCCUUGAAACCAAUUUAUGAUGAUUUGAGCUUUGAUGACUUUUGCUAGUUAUCCUGUUGGAUGUAGCUAUUAGAAGAUGGUUUAAAGAGGUUGUAAAGGGAUUGACAGGGUUAGCAACUCAGGUAACCUAUGCGUGCAAACUGCUUCAAGUCCUCUUGGAUGUAGUGCUGCCAUUCAGAGCUGGAGGGGUUUUAUUUAUACACAUUUUUGUAAUCUUUAAUUGUAUUGUAUUAUUGUCACCUAGAGGAACUAAACAAUACAUCAAUAUCACCAUGAAAUCACAAUAUUAUCAUCGGCAAUGCCAUUGUCAUCAUUAUCAUCUUUAAAGAGCUGAGUCUUUAGCUUUUUCUUAAAGUCCCAUUCAGAUUUUUUGAACUACUUUAAGUGUUGUCAGUGGCCUUUCGAUUGUAAUUAUGAAGUUUUUAGCCAAAAUCACAUUACCUGGGUCAUUUUUAAGAGCUUUUCUUCUGCAGAGCUUCAGUAGCUUGUUGGCAAUUCGCCUCUGAGUUGUGAGCAAAGACAGCGCUGCUCUGCACAAUCCUCUUUAUGCUAGAUUGCAGCCUAAACACUGCUGGUGCUGCAGAAGUAGCAAGUAACAUGGGAGCUAUUCAGCUCUAAGACACUAAUGUCUUUGAAAGCUAAUAUCAUAAUUAGCUUUCUUACGAGCAUUGUAAUGCGCUAUCGCACAUGCUUGUUCUGCGAUUGUCCUCUCUACUUUUCAGAUUCUGGCCUGCAUAGUGGGGCUCAGGGGUGGAGCUUACAGUAGUGACAUAGGAAAUCUCAUUGUAUCUGAACCUGCCAUUUGGGUCUGCUGGAGAUUUGCAGUGAUUUGAAUGAAAAAAUACUCAGAAAUGCAAUUUUGCGCUUACUUAUCCCAUGAUAUGUCCUCUAGCAUCAGAAAAUUGCCAUAUGAACAUGCAGACAACAAGAAAAACAUGAUUUUCAUCAGAGUGGGUCUUAAAAGUGCAGAGAGGGACUGUUUAGAGUCUGGCUAGUGACUAAGGGCCCUUGUUGUGAUGGGAGCACCUUUUCACUGGCAGAGCAUAGCAGCCUGGAGAGAAUGUAGACCUGGAUGAGUUAUUAAGGCAGGAGACAUUUAUGUUGUUGUUUUGUAAGUUGAAUUAUUUUUGUUUCACAUUUGUUAACUGAUAUUGCUUGUUUUGAAAGAUAUUUUGAACAUGACUACAGCCUGAGUGAAUAUUAUGUUUAGUGGCCGUGUUCCUGUUUAUUUGGAUUGCACAGUAGUACUUGAAUAAUGUCUCUAAUAGACGUGUUUCACUUUGGGGUGCAUUUCAUGUUCUACAACUUCUGCCAUUAUCAUGCUUAUUAGCCUAAAAGUGUGCAGAUGAGUAUAGUCCCCAUUUUCAGAGAGCUAUAACCUGACAAAGAGCAGCAGAUCAAACCACUGGGAUUUAAUUAGCUAGCUGUAGGACUGAGGCAGUGUGCAGGCUUAUCUUCCUUUUACGCUUCAGGUCUAAUAUGAAAUAUUUUGUAUCACCCUGGACCCAGUUUUUUCUGUGGAUCACAUUGAGUUGUGCCAAAAUUUAUUUUUUCAACAAUGUUUUACGCUCUUAUCAUGUUUUUAUAGGCUAUUUGCAAUGUAACAAAAUAAUGUGUAUUCAGCCUGGGUCACGUCAGAUAUAAUUAAGACUCUAAUUACUAUGAUCUAGUACUUCAAGAUGUGAGAAAAGUACCAAGAUUUAAAAAAUUACAGUGUGUUUGAAGAGAAUGAUUGAAAAAAUACAUAUAAAUGAAUGACUUCAAUACAAAAACUCAAGUAUAAAUCUAUGUUGUAUUCUUUAUGCAUGCCAGCAAAAUGUUAAGCCCCUUGGAUAAACAAAACAGAUCCGAAACAGAUCCAAGAAGCAUCUGUGAAAUAGAGAGGGGAAGGUAAGUGUGAAGCGAGUCUUGAUUUGACCAAAAAGACCGUCUCUAAAAAAAAUAACAUUGAUACUUCUUUAGAUGGACAGUUGCUUUCCUGGUGGCCACUGAAGCACUCACUCUUCAUUACACAGACAGACAAGGAGAGUGAGAGAGAGAGUUUUUCACUCACUACAAAGAUGUGCUUGAAUGCAUUAAGGACACGGCUGGACUCCAAACCAAUCACUGUCAAUGCUGGCAGCGGACAAACUGCUGACUGACUCAGAGUUCCUAAAGAUGAGGUGUUACAGGACUGUGAAACAGCCCAUGGCAUCCUCUUCUUCUAUUAGCAUAUUCAUGGGCGAGAACAAAUUCUGUCAGCCACAACUUGAACACAGGAGCUGAAGCUGCAACCUCAGGCUUUGUGCUGUCCCAAAUGAUGAUUUUCUUCACCAGAAAGAAAGACAUGUAUGUUCUUUGUAAUAUACUUUUAAAACACAGAGUUGGGAAACAUCCUCUAGCUCAAAAUCAUGGAGGAAAAUGCCAGUGAGUAAGAUUAACACAUAACAAGCUUUUCUUGAUGGUAAAACCCUCUCUGUGGUUAAGUUCACACAGCCUGGAGACCAAACAAAUCUGCAAAUGCAUGUAUGACUAAUCAAAACUGUUUGAUAGAGGUGUUGUUUAAGUGCUGUCGAGGCCAUGUGUAAAUAGAAAAAAAUUGGCUGCUGUUCAGAUAAAAUUUGAGGCUGACAUACUAACUGUCUAAAAGCCCACUCCUUUUUACUCCCACUGUAUCAAGGGAGGGUAAAGUACUGCCUUGAUUGGCACUGACAAGUUGUGCUGUUGACAUUUCUCUUGGAAUUGAGGCAUGUGCAGAAGCUGGAGCUGCAGGACUGAUGCAUAUCCCUUCUGCGGGCUGUCAAUUUUCACACCACAAACCUUUUUUUAAGCAUCACAUAAAAUUAUCACUUAACCUUUUCCAAAAAAUAAACACCAUCCCACAACAAAAUAAACACCCAAAGUCGAGGCUCAAAACUAAAGGUGAUAGAGCUUUCUCCAUCAGAGCUCCUCGACUUUGGAAUGACCUGCCUGAAGGAGAUUAGGCGUGCAAAGGCAGUCACUUCUUAAAGUCAAAUUUAAAAACUCACUUUUACAGACUUGCUUUUACGUGAUGCCGUCUUUUAUCUUUUAUCUCAAUUUUUUAUUUGUCAUCUUUUACCUCUCUUAUUUCAGCUUUACCUUCUUUUUUAGCUUUAGUUAAACUUGUACUCUUUUCUUAAUUAACCUUUUAGGCCUUUUAUUAUUUUAUCUCUUGCUCAUUCUACUGCUCUAUUUUAUCAUUACUUUUAUUAUCAGAUUACCUGUUAUUAUUUUAUUUUCAAUGUUGAUAUUGCCUUUUAUAUUUACUAUCCUGUUUCCGCUUUCCUCAUGGUCUCAUUUUAUGUUGCAUGGUUCUUGAAUUGUCUUGGUUCCUUAUGACAUGAAAAUGGCCUUCAAUUCUGUUUUUACUGAACCUUUUGUUUUUAUUUGUCUUUCUCCUUGUGCCCUACGACUACAUGUCAAAGCACUUUGUAAACAUCUGUUCUUUUAAAAGUGCUAUACAAAUAAAGUUAUUAUUAUUAUUAUUAUUAUUAUUACUAUUAUUAUUAUCAGUAGUAGUAGUAGUAGUAAUAGUUGUAGAAGUAUUAUUAUUACAACAAUUCAGCAUAAGGCCAUAAGGUUAUGGUUGCAUAAUAGAGGAUCUAUGUUGCUGUUCAUAUUUUUAUAUGACAGCAUUUAACAAACUGUGAAGUACAACACACUGCAAUGACUGUUUGUUUCUAAACUAUACUGUAACAUAUUUCUGUAAAUCAUGAAAAGAUAAAGCAACACUUAUUUAAAGUUUGGACAAGCUAUAAACUCCAGCUACCUGCUACUUCAGAACAUUUUUUUGUUUCUGUAAUUGGUUGUAGCUUUUAGAUUGGCUCUAACAACCCUUGGAAAGCUAACAUGAAUCAAGAGAUUAAAGUCUAGAACCUCUUGUCCCCUGCAGUACAACAGGAAAUAUCAUGUUAAAGAUCUAGCUGAUCUGUACUUGUCUUCUGAGUUACCACCCAUCGAGGUUAUCACACCUUAUUAACAGCUCAGGUCAGGGUGGGAGAAGAAUUCUGGGUAAAAAUCAGGCCAACCCCUGUGCCUGUUCACAAGAGAAGUGAGAUUUUUCUACCCACAAGCAGAACUGUCCAAACUCUUCAGUAUGUGUGUUCUCAUGAUUUAGGUUAAUAUGUGCAAAUUUAAUUUUGACAACCUCAAAGCAAACAUAGCCUUGCAUCCCUUGAGAUCAGACCCCAAGUUGGGAACCAAUGAAAUAGAGGGCAUUAGAUAAUAAUACAUAAUCUACAAAAGGGAAAUCCAGCUGUACUGGUAAAAGCCAGAGAUUAGCAGUGGUUUUUCAGAAUAUGAAGGUCACAGUUUCUAGAUCUGGCAGAAUACAGAGGGCAGUGGUGCUGGUGUUUUAUCACAGCAGCUGAAUUGUCCUUAAAUUGGAGUCUGGAAAAUAAAAGUCAAACUAGAGUGUGCAGACUGAGAGCCACUUGCUAAGGUUCAAUUUUCCUCUGUAAUCCUCUGCAGGCACUGCAGGAGCAGCAGUGAUGAACCCACUGUGGAUGUGGAUGAAAUGUUUUUAAAUUCAUAAUUAACUGUCAGUGUGAUGGAUGUAUAUUUCAUGAAUACAUUUUCUUUCAUAUGCAGUGGCUUGUGAUCAUGGUUCAGGAAGGCAAUUGUGUGAACUGGACAGUUUUUCUUCAAAUGGAUUAAAAAAUUCUGAACACGGGUUGUUUUGUUUGCCUUCAUUGUUUCAUGUUUGGCUCUUGUAACUUGUAAAUUAUUCUGCAGGAAAUGAGUUUCAGGGCACUGAGAAAAUAUUGCUAGAGAGCAAUUCACAUUUUAUAAGCGUGAAUUUUCUCAACAGAUGCAAACAUAUACAAGAAGUAAAAGGAUUGCCUUUACCUGACAAGGAAGUAAGAGAUGAAUUGAGGUUUUAAGGAUAAUAACAGCAGAGUAUCAUAAAGCUCAUUGUUAAAAUAAUAGAGGAAUUCUGCUCAUUCUUCUGUGUAUCUCUGAGGAGCGGCACAUUGAAUCAUCUGUAAUCAGCUGGUUUAAAAGGCACAACCCUGAGUGUGUCCCUGGAUGGUUCAAACAUUAACCUUGUCCCCCCUGUUCACAUUCAGAGUAUGAAUCAUCUCUAGAAGCACUACUAGUCUGUUUUCUUCAUCUUUUAUAACCGGAUUUCGACCUCAGUUGUCUUGCUGGGGGUAUUUGUUUGUGUACCUUAAGUUGAUUGUCAAAGAC
rnacentral:lncRNA from 1 species